rnacentral:snoRNA from 1 species
CCAGCCCCUAGAGGUGUUGCUGGUUUGGCUGCUGUUUCACACAUGCGCCAGUAGGUGGCAGAGAGGAGAGACACUAUGUUCUGACCUGUGACCAUCUAAAUGAUCAGAAGCCUAACAUU